rnacentral:misc_RNA from 1 species
AGCAGCUUUCAAAUCUAAUUAUGAGAAGCUUCCUCAUUAUCUCAAAUCUUGCUUAGAUUAUUGUUAUAUUGCAUCCGAAAACUAUAAGGAUAAAGGAGAAGUAGUUCGGCUUUUGUUGGCUCAAGGUCUAAUACCAGAAAAACCAGGGGAAAUCAUAGAGGAUACAGCAGAAAAUAUUAUAAACGAAUUAACUGGCUUAGAGAUGCUUCAUGAACG